AUUGAACGCUGGCGGCAUGCCUUACACAUGCAAGUCGAACGGUAACGGGCCUUCGGGUGCCGACGAGUGGCGAACGGGUGAGUAAUGCAUCGGAACGUACCUUUCAGUGGGGGAUAACGUAGCGAAAGUUACGCUAAUACCGCAUAUUCUGUGAGCAGGAAAGCAGGGGAUCGCAAGACCUUGCGCUGAUUGAGCGGCCGAUGUCAGAUUAGCUAGUUGGUGAGGUAAAGGCUCACCAAGGCGACGAUCUGUAGCGGGUCUGAGAGGAUGAUCCGCCACACUGGAACUGAGACACGGUCCAGACUCCUACGGGAGGCAGCAGUGGGGAAUUUUGGACAAUGGGGGCAACCCUGAUCCAGCCAUGCCGCGUGAGUGAAGAAGGCCUCGGUUGUAAGUACGUCUUUCGGUCCGGGU
rnacentral:rRNA from 1 species